UUUGAUCCUGGCUCAGAUUGAACGCUGGCGGCAUGCCUUACACAUGCAAGUCGAACGGUAACAGGUCUUUCGGGAUGCUGACGAGUGGCGAACGGGUGAGUAAUACAUCGGAACGUGCCUAGUAGUGGGGGAUAACUACUCGAAAGAGUGGCUAAUACCGCAUGAGAUCUAUGGAUGAAAGCAGGGGUACCUUCGGGCCUUGUGCUACUAGAGCGGCCGAUGGCAGAUUAGGUAGUUGGUGGGAUAAAAGCUUACCAAGCCUGCGAUCUGUAGCUGGUCUGAGAGGACGAUCAGCCACACUGGGACUGAGACACGGCCCAGACUCCUACGGGAGGCAGCAGUGGGGAAUUUUGGACAAUGGGGGAAACCCUGAUCCAGCAAUGCCGCGUGCAGGAUGAAGGCCUUCGGGUUGUAAACUGCUUUUGUACGGAACGAAAAGUCUUGGGCUAAUACCCUGGGAUCAUGA
rnacentral:rRNA from 1 species